AGUGAACGCUGGCGGUAGGCCUAACACAUGCAAGUCGAACGGCAGCACAGUAAGAGCUUGCUCUUACGGGUGGCGAGUGGCGGACGGGUGAGGAAUACAUCGGAAUCUACUUUUUCGUGGGGGAUAACGUAGGGAAACUUACGCUAAUACCGCAUACGACCUACGGGUGAAAGCAGGGGAUCUUCGGACCUUGCGCGAUUGAAUGAGCCGAUGUCGGAUUAGCGAGUUGGCGGGGUAAAGGCCCACCAAGGCGACGAUCCGUAGCUGGUCUGAGAGGAUGAUCAGCCACGCUGGAACUGCGACACGGUCCAGACUCCUACGGGAGGCAGCAGUGGGGCAUAUUGGACAAUGGGCGCAUGCCUGAUCCAGCCAUACCGCGUGGGUGAAGAAGGCCUUCGGGUUGUAAAGCCCUUUUGUUGGGAAAGAAAAGCAGCAGGUUAAUACCCCGCUGUUCUGACGGUCCCCAAAGAAUAAGCACCGGCUCUCUUCG
rnacentral:rRNA from 1 species